GCUACCGCUCGAACCACCCCGACUUUCCACCACCGCCGCUAACGACCACCAACAUCAUUGCGCGUGACAUAUUUCUAACCAUUUGUUAGCAAUCGACGUAACGCGACGUGGUGUGAUGUCGUGCCAUGUCCUGACACGUACGUGGCCAUGUCCUGACACGUACGUGGCCAUGUCCUGACACGUACGUGGCCAUGUCCUGACACGUAC
rnacentral:lncRNA from 1 species